AUUCUCCUGCCUCAGCUUCCGGAGCAGCUGGGACUGCUGGCGCCCGCCACUACGCUCGGCUAAUUUUUUUGUGUUUUUAGUAGAGACGGGCUUUCACCGUGUUGGCCUAGCGGUUCUCCAACUCCUGACCUCAUGAUCCCCCCGCCUCAGCCUCCCAAAGUGCUGGGAUUACAAGCGUGAGCCACCGCGACCCGCCAACACUCUUGACAACAGUGCUGUGCUAAGAACUUGGGGGACUUCAAAAAGUUCACCAGUUCCUGUGUCCAUGGGUGAAAAGAUUUUCUACAUCUUUCCUUGACUAGAAACAGAAGUCCUGAAACAAGCAUUUUAAAAAGGUUGUACAUCUAGCAAUACCUAACAAAAUAGGAAAUCAACUUGGAAAGCCAAUGGCUGUGUUUUGAGUUUAUGGAGAGCCAUAUGUGGCAAGGAACUGAGGGUGGCAUCCAGGCAACAGACUUCAAGAAACUGAGGCUGUCAGUCCAACAACCCACAAGAACUGAAUCUGACCAACAAUCACAGGAACAAACUUAGAAGUAUACUCUUUCCCAGACAAACCUUCAGAUGAGACCACAGCCCCAGCCAUAAGCUUGAAAACAAUCUCAUGAGGGACCUUGAGCCACAGGCAUGUAGUAAAGCUAUGCCAGGAAUCCUGCCUGCCCCACAGAAAAUGUAAAAAAAAUAAAUUUUUAUUGUUUUAAGCCA
rnacentral:lncRNA from 1 species